rnacentral:lncRNA from 10 species
GUAGAGAGAGGCAGAGAGCUCAGAGAUCAAAAGUUCCAGGAAGAAGCUCAGCCCUGGAAAAUCAAAACCCAGUUGGAUCCACAGAUGCCUGAGUUGGAGAUGAACUUUGGCGAACUCUCCUCAUUACCAUACUAACCCCACACCCUGCCCAAUCCCAGGGAAGAACUUAUUGGCCAUUUUCUAUGCAUGCGACAUAUGUGGAAGGAUGAUCCUUGACUGCACAUUUGCGGCUUUGACCCCACCUCUGCAUACAAUGGCUCAGCUCACCAGCUCAAUACGAGCCCUGUGUUCACUGUUGUUCAGGGAAGCACUGCUUUGGGAACCAUCUCUAGUGUCCUACUUACUCGUGACAAAUAAUAAAAUCCCCCUG